UUUAACUGCAACCAUAAGUUUUUCGUUCAACUUUGAUCGUUCGUAUUAUUUAAAAUUCUUUUAUAAUUAGUAUUUUUUUAUUAUAAGAUGAUAAAACAUGGGUAGUACUUUACUCGUGAAUUAUGUUUUUAAAUUUUUCCAAAAAACUUUUAAAUAAGACGGACAAUCAAAGUUGGGCGCGGAAAACCACGGCUGCAUUUAAA
rfam:Oryza meridionalis cultivar OR44 (W2112) chromosome 8, whole genome shotgun sequence.